rnacentral:lncRNA from 1 species
GCGGGCAUGCCGGGCGGCGGCGGCGGCGGGCCCGCGGCGGCGCUGCGCGAGCAGGAGCGGGUGUACGAGUGGUUUGGGCUGGUGCUGGGCUCGGCGCAGCGCCUGGAGUUCAUGUGCGGGCUGCUGGACCUGUGCAACCCGCUGGAGCUGCGCUUCCUCGGCUCGUGCCUGGAGGACCUGGCGCGCAAGGACUACCACUACCUGCGCGACUCCGAGGCUAAGGCCAACGGCCUCUCGGACCCCGGGCCGCUGGCGGACUUCCGAGAGCCCUCCGUGCGCUCGCGCCUCAUCGUCUACCUGGCGCUGCUGGGCUCGGAGAACCGUGAGGCCGCCGGCCGCCUGCACCGCCUCCUGCCCCAGGUGGACUCGGUGCUCAAGAGUCUGCGCGCGGCUCGGGGCGAGGGUUCGCGGGGCGGCGCGGAGGACGAGCCCGGCGAGCGCGGGGAGGACGGCGAAGGCGAGGAGGACGCAGAGAAGGACGGUUCUGGCCCGGAAGGCAGCGGCGCCGAGUCCCGGCCCGGCGGCGGGCUGGGCUUCAGGGCCCAGGAGGAACUGCUGCUGCUCUUCACCAUGGCUUCGCUGCACCCGGCGUUCUCCUUCCACCAGCGGGUCACCCUGAGGGAGCACCUGGAGAGGCUCCGCGCCGCGCUCCGCGGGGGGCCCGAGGACGCGGAGGCGGAGCCGUGCAACUUUGCCGGCCCCCGGGCCCAGGGUGACGCCGCCCCCGGUGACUUCCCGCAGAGCGAGGAGACCAGCGUGCUAGAGCAAGCCCUGACACCUCGCGACGGCCUUCCUGGGGCGCCGCACAGAGCCCAGCGAGAAGCUGUGCACAUUGAGAAGAUCAUGUUGAAAGGAGUCCAGAGAAAAAGGGCUGACAAAUAUUGGGAGUACACCUUCAAACUCCCAAAGGAAGUGUCUUCGGAGACUUUUGAUAAGACCAUCCUAAGAGCCCUGAAUCAGGGUUCACUGAAGAGGGAAGAACGGCGACAUCCUGACCUAGAGCCCAUCCUAAGGCAGCUAUUUUCAACUUCAUCCCAAGCUUUUCUACAGAGUCAGAAAGUGCACAGCUUCUUUCAGUCCAUAUCACCAGACCCUCUGCACAGCCUCAAUAACUUCCAGUCCUCUCUGAAGACUUCAAAAAUAUUAGAACACUUAAAGGAAGACAGCUCAGAAGCUUCAAGUCAAGAAGAAGAUGUGUUACAACACACCGUAAUCCACAAGAAACACACCGGGAAGAGUCCCCUUGUGAACACCAUCGGUACAAGUUGUUCUCCGUUGGAUGGGCUCACUGUGCAGUAUUCUGAGCAGAAUGGAGUUGUGGAUUGGAGGAAGCAGAGCUGCCCCCCUCUUCAGCACCCGGAGCACUGUGUGGCCUUAGCUGACCAGCAUUCAACCGAAAAACGAAGCUUAUCUUCAAUAAAUAAGAAGAAAGGAAAGCCACAAAUAGAAAAGGAGAAAAUUAAGAAAACUGACAACAGAUUGAAUAGUAGAAUAAAUGGGAUCAGAUUGUCUGCUUCUCAGCAUGCCCACGGUGGUUCCGUGAAAGAUGUGAACUUGGAUGUUGGAUCUGGACGUGACACGUGUGGAGAGACCUCUUCAGAGAGCUACAGCUCUCCCUCGAGUCCACGGCAUGAUGGGAGAGAGAGCUUUGAAAGCGAAGAAGAGAAAGACCGAGACACAGACAGCAAUUCUGAGGAUUCUGGGAAUCCGUCAACAACCAGGUUUACGGGCUACGGUUCUGUCAACCAGACCGUCACUGUCAAGCCACCUGUUCAGAUUGCUUCAUUAGGAAGCGACAACGGAGGCCUUUUAGAAGAUGCCCUAAAUGCACCCAAGUAUCAGCAUAUUUCUUUUAUGCCAACUUUACACUGUGUCAUGCACAACGGUGCCCAGAAGUCUGACGUCGGUGUCCCUCCACCCAAGUCCGCUGACGGCAAGACCAUAGGGAUGCUUGUUCCCAGUCCUGUUGCUAUUUCUGCAAUAAGGGAGUCUGCAAACUCUACCCCUGUUGGAGUACUGGGGCCAGCAGCUUCUGCCGGAGAACCCGAGAAACACCUGGAGUUACUGGCUUCCCCUUUGCCUCUUCCGUCAGCGUUCCUCGCACACGGCAGCGCCCCUGCUCUGCACCUGACAAUUCAGAGGCUAAAGUUGCCGCCACCGCAGGGGUCCUCGGAGAGCUGCCCGGUCAACAUCCCACAGCAGCCGCCCGCAAGUCUGAGCAUCGGAUCACCAAACACUGCCUUUCUCCCUGUCCACAGCCCGGGGAGCUUUCCGGGGUCUCCCAUUGCUACCACGGACCCCAUCGCCAAGUCUGCGUCCCCGGUGGUAGGACUCAAUCAAAUGGUGCCUCAACUCGAGGGAAGCACCGGGACAGUCCCUCAGCCCAGCAAUGUGAAGGUUGUUGUCCCCGCAGCCGGCCUCUCGGCUGCACAGCCACCAGCAUCCUACACCCUGCCGGGGCCCCCCCUUGGCACCGGCGCGCUGCCCAGCCAGAGCUCCGGCGCGCUCAGCCCAGCNNNNNNNNNNNNNNNNNNNNNNNNNNNNNNNNNNNNNNNNNNNNNNNNNNNNNNNNNNNNNNNNNNNNNNNNNNNNNNNNNNNNNNNNNNNNNNNNNNNNCCGGCCGGCGCCCCCGCGGUCCCCACCCACACCCCGGGCCCCGCGCCCAGCCCGAGCCCCGCGCUCACCCACAGCACCGCGCAGAGCGACAGCACGUCCUACAUCAGCGCCGUGGGGAACACGAACGCUAACGGGACAGUCCUGCCGCCGCAGCAGAUGGGCUCGGGGCCCUGCGGCUCUUGCGGGCGACGGUGCGGCUGUGGGACCAACGGCAGCCUUCAGCUGAACAGCUACUACUAUCCUAACCCGAUGCCCGGGCCCAUGUACCGGGUCCCGUCCUUCUUCACUCUGCCGUCCCUCUGCAACGGCAGCUACCUCAACCAAGCACAUCAGAGCAAUGGAAACCAACUUCCUUUCUUUCUGCCUCAGACUCCGUAUGCAAACGGACUGGUGCACGACCCCGUCCUGGGGAGCCAAGCCAGCUACGGCAUGCAGCAGAUGGCGGGCUUCGGGAGGUUCUACCCCGUGUACCCAGCGCCCGGCGUGGUUGCCAGUGCGAGCGGUUCGGGGCCCAAGAAGAACGGGAACGUCUCCUGUUACAACUGCGGUGUGAGUGGACACUACGCACAGGAGUGCAAGCAGUCGUCCAUGGAGGCCAGCCCACAAGGCACUUACAGACUGAGAUACGCACCUCCCCUCCCCCCUUCUAAUGAUACGUUGGAUUCUGCAGACUGAACCACGUAAAGCUUGACUGCUUAAUACCCUGACGUGUUGGGGAGUCAUGGUGGGGUGUGGAGGGGAGGAAAGGAAAGGUAUUUUGUGUGUGUUUCUUUGUCUGUACAUUUCCUAGAUUUCUAUGCACUUGGGAUUUUUCAUUUCUGUUGUACUGAUGUCCAAAUCAAAAAAAAUGCAUUGCUUUUGAGCCUCUGGUCUCCUGGUUCAACAACAGGCCUAUCUGUAUGAAACAUGUAAUUUAAACCUCCACACUAUCAAAAGGAACAUGUUUGCUGUGCUUUUUUUUUACACUGAAUACUUGCUGUGUGCAAUGUUUACUGAAUCUUUAAAACUGUGUAUUUGACCUUUUUUUUUUUUUUACAACACUGGUGACAGUCAUAUGGUUUUCAAAAAGAGAAACUGCUCCUUCCCAGCUUUUCUCACUUUCACCCCAAAGGACACACGUCUCCCCGUCACCCCCUCUCCUGUGGCCUGUAAAUCCAGGGUGAAGUGCUUCACCUUCAACUGAGGAGAAAUCAAGUUCCCCAAGUUGUGUGUAUAUAAUAAACAGCAUCCCGUGAAUACA